rnacentral:misc_RNA from 1 species
AACUAACCAAGGCCCAAAAAAUGACAACUCCUGGGAAAUGUUAGGAACAUCUACCAGCCAUAAAAUGAGCCAUUGGAGCUAAGACUCGCUCUAGUGUUUUGAGGCAGUAGAGACACAACGUAAGAUAGCCAAGAACCAAAAGGACCAAUAUGUGGUUCUUCAGUAGCUAGAGUUGCUUGACGUUGGUGAAAAGAUUGGUGUUGGUUUCGACAAAGAAAAGUGAAGAAAAAGGGGGUAAA